UACGAAGGGGGCUAGCGUUGCUCGGAAUCACUGGGCGUAAAGCGCACGUAGGCGGUUUCUUAAGUCGGUGGUGAAAUCCCGGGGCUCAACCCCGGAACUGCCUUUGAUACUGGGUAUCUCGAGUCCGGAAGAGGUGAGUGGAAUUCCGAGUGUAGAGGUGAAAUUCGUAGAUAUUGGGAAGAACACCGGUGGCGAAGGCGGCUCACUGGCUCGUAACUGACGCUCAUGCACGACAGCGUGGGGAGCAAACAGG
rnacentral:rRNA from 1 species